rnacentral:rRNA from 1 species
AUUGAACGCUGGCGGCAGGCUUAACACAUGCAAGUCGAGCGGGGUGAUGGUGCUUGCACUAUCACUUAGCGGCGAACGGGUGAGUAAUGCUUAGGAAUCUGCCUAUUAGUGGGGGACAACAUCUCGAAAGGGAUGCUAAUACCGCAUACGUCCUACGGGAGAAAGCAGGGGAUCACUUGUGACCUUGCGCUAAUAGAUGAGCCUAAGUCGGAUUAGCUAGUUGGUGUGGUAAAGGCCUACCAAGGCGACGAUCUGUAGCGGGUCUGAGAGGAUGAUCCGCCACACUGGGACUGAGAAACGGCCCAGACUCCUACGGGAGGCAGCAGUGGGGAAUAUUGGACAAUGGGGGGAACCCUGAUCCAGCCAUGCCGCGUGUGUGAAGAAGGCCUUAUGGUUGUAAAGCACUUUAAGCGAGGAGGAGGCUCUUUUGGUUAAUACCCAAGAUGAGUGGACGUUACUCGCAGAAUAAGCACCGGCUAACUCUGUGCCAGCCGCCGCAGUAA